rnacentral:misc_RNA from 1 species
CUGUUGGAGCAUCAAAACCAACUCCUGUAGCUGAUGCUGAUGGGUUCUUCAGCGUCAAAAAUAAGAUGCUGGUAAACGUCACAGCAGAUCACCGAGUUGUGUAUGGCGCGGACUUAGCAGCCUUCCUUCAAACUUUUUCCAAGAUUAUUGAGAAUCCAGAUAGCUUGACAAUGUAGAUGGAGAGCUAAGAUUAGCUGGUACGCAUUGCAACUGAUAUAUGUGUUGCACUAAAAAAUUUCCAGUAGAUCAAAGUGAGCCUCGCAGUGCAAUUUUUGGAAUUUUAUCGCCUUUUUCGUUUUGCUGAUUCAUUUUCUUCUCUUAUAAGAAGCUGUAUUUUUCUGGAUUGCAAGAAUGUGACUGGUUUCUCAGA